rnacentral:rRNA from 1 species
GACGAACGCUGGCGGCGUGCUUAACACAUGCAAGUCGAACGGAAAGGCCCUGCUUUUGUGGGGUGCUCGAGUGGCGAACGGGUGAGUAACACGUGAGUAACCUGCCCUUGACUUUGGGAUAACUUCAGGAAACUGGGGCUAAUACCGGAUAGGAGCUCCUGCUGCAUGGUGGGGGUUGGAAAGUUUCGGCGGUUGGGGAUGGACUCGCGGCUUAUCAGCUUGUUGGUGGGGUAGUGGCUUACCAAGGCUUUGACGGGUAGCCGGCCUGAGAGGGUGACCGGCCACAUUGGGACUGAGAUACGGCCCAGACUCCUACGGGAGGCAGCAGUGGGGAAUAUUGCACAAUGGGCGGAAGCCUGAUGCAGCAACGCCGCGUGCGGGAUGACGGCCUUCGGGUUGUAAACCGCUUUCGCCUGUGGCGAAGCGUGAGUGACGGUAAUGUGUAAAGAAGCACCGGCUAACUACGUG